rnacentral:rRNA from 1 species
UGGCGAACGGGUGAGUAACACGUGGGUGAUCUGCCCUGCACUUCGGGAUAAGCCUGGGAAACUGGGUCUAAUACCUGAUAGGAGCCAUUUUUAGUGUGAUUGUUGGAAAGUUUUUUCGGUGUAGGAUGAGCUCGCGGCCUAUCAGCUUGUUGGUGGGGUAAUGGCCUACCAAGGCGGCGACGGGUAGCCGGCCUGAGAGGGUGGACGGCCACAUUGGGACUGAGAUACGGCCCAG